CCUACGGGAGGCUGCAGUGGGGAAUAUUGGACAAUGGGCGCAAGCCUGACCCAGCAACGCCGCGUGAAGGAAGAAGGCUUUCGGGAUGUAAACUUCUUUUAGCAGGGACGAAGCAAGUGACGGUACCUGACGAAUAAGCCACGGCUAACUACGUGUCAGCAGCCGCGGUAAUACGUAGGUGGCAAGCGUUAUCCGGAUUUACUGGGUGUAAAGGGCGUGUAGGCGGGUAUGCAAGUCAGAUGUGAAAACCACGGGCUCAACCUGUGGCCUGCAUUUGAAACUGUAGUUCUUGAGUACUGGAGAGGUAGACGGAAUUCCUAGUGUAGCGGUGAAAUGCGUAGAUAUUAGGAGGAACACCAGUGGCGAAGGCGGUCUGCUGGACAGCAACUGACGCUGAGGCGCGAAAGCGUGGGGAGCAAACAGGAUUAGAUACCCGGGUAGUC
rnacentral:rRNA from 1 species